rnacentral:rRNA from 1 species
AUAUCAAUAAGCGGAGGAAAAGAAACCAACAGGGAUUGCCUUAGUAACGGCGAGUGAAGCGGCAACAGCUCAGAUUUGAAAUCUGGCCUUCGGGCCCGAGUUGUAAUCUGUAGAGGAUGCUUCGGGUGAGGUGCCUUCCAAGUGCCCUGGAACGGGACGCCAGAGAGGGUGAGAGCCCCGUACAGUCGGACACCAAGCCCAUGUGAAGCUCCUUCGACGAGUCGAGUAGUUUGGGAUUGCUGCCCUAAUUAGGAGGUAUACUUCUCCUAAGGCUAAAUAUUUAUAGGAGACCGAUAGCGCACAAGUA